UUUUCUGAGCCAAAACAUAAAUCUUGGUGGAUGGAAAGAAGAUGAGUAAAAGAGAAAAGGCAGAAAAUAAGCCCCGCUAAGAAAGAGAAAGGAAAUAGAACCACCACCAAUAAGGAGAUUAAAAGGAAAUUCAGCAUCUGUACUUCAGAGUUCAAAAUGUAUUAGAGAUCCCAUUGCAGUUAAAGGUCGAUGGAUUCAACAAUGUGCAGCAGCCCUUCAAAGAAUACAGACUGUGGUUUCCUCCUGGGAUGACUUCACCAGGACCCUUGGCAACAGUGCUGGUGGAAAGUGGAAAGAAACAGUUACAUGAGCCAUAGAUGGCAGAAACAGUAGGUGGGAAAUUCAAGAUUCAAGAACUUAGUAAUAAACUCCACAUACAGAGAAAUUCUCUGCUGUGGGAAGAAGGGAAGAGGCUUGUUUGCCAAAAUAGAACUCACAUUUAGGCAGCAGGUAUAUGAAGCCCUGAAACUCCUUGGGAUCCCUAUGUUCAAAUGCCAAAGCAACUGUGACCAACUUUUGCCAUAUGGCAAAAAAAGACACUCUCUUGGCCUCCUUUUUCCACCAGCAAUGGAAAAGAAAAGAAAUAACAAUAAUAAAGAAAGAAGAGGUUGGUGUUUUC
rnacentral:lncRNA from 1 species